ACUCCUACGGGAGGCAGCAGUGGGAAUAUUGCACAAUGGGCGCAAGCCUGAUGCAGCCAUGCCGCGUGUGUGAAGAAGGCCUUCGGGUUGUAAAGCACUUUCAGUCGUGAGGAAGGUAGUGUAGUUAAUAGCUGCAUUAUUUGACGUUAGCGACAGAAGAAGCACCGGCUAACUCCGUGCCAGCAGCCGCGGUAAUACGGAGGGUGCGAGCGUUAAUCGGAAUUACUGGGCGUAAAGCGCAUGCAGGUGGUUUGUUAAGUCAGAUGUGAAAGCCCGGGGCUCAACCUCGGAAUAGCAUUUGAAACUGGCAGACUAGAGUACUGUAGAGGGGGUAGAAUUUCAGGUGUAGCGGUGAAAUGCGUAGAGAUCUGAAGGAAUACCGGUGGCGAAGGCGGCCCCUGGACAGAUACUGACACUCAGAUGCGAAAGCGUGGGAGC
rnacentral:rRNA from 1 species